rnacentral:lncRNA from 1 species
CUGGGCUAGAGGCGGGUCUCCACCAGCGACUCAUCGGAGGCGGGCUUGAGAGCAGCUGCAGGGGAGGCGCGCAGGAGCCUCGGCGGCGGCGGCGGCGGCGGCGGCGGCGGCGGCGGCGGCGGCCGAACCGACAGAGUCGGACCCGACACCAAAACCGAAGCAGAGAGUGAAGAAAACUAAAAUCCAGUUUAUUGUAUUACAAUACUAUGUCAUAACAGUCAGUAAUGGAUUUGGAUAUAUUGGCACACAGUGCUCUGAAAUAAAUAAGAUUA